AAAUUAAAACAAAAAUAAAUAAAUAAAACUCUUCCCUCCUAAUUCCUGGGAAGCGCAUCUUUUGAGUUUUCUCGCUGCUUCCCCUUUGUUACUGGUGCUCGUGCUCCCCUUUGUUCUUGCUGCUCUCGCGCACUACUCUUCUUCUGCACCGUUUUUCUUCAAAUCGGCGUCGAAUUCAUCGACUGUCUCGCACUUAUGGCUGAGGUCAGUGAUGAAUUCGGCGAGUACUUUGUCGCCGACUCCGACUAUGAGUUUCAAGUUCGGAGCAUACCUUUGAAACGAGGGAGAGAUAUUCCAAUUUCUUCAGUCCGUCGCCUUUGCUUUCCUCAACUGCUGCCAUUGUUGCUACUGCUUCAAGAAUCGAUUUUCAUCGACGGUCUCGCACUUUGUUGGUGGGAUUUCGAAAGUGAAAAUUGAAAACCCGUUUCAAUUUUUAAGGAAGUGAUAUUGGUGCUGAUAAAACACAUUCUUCAAUCUCUCCCUAAAUAUUAUUCAGAAUAUCAACUUGUAUGAGGAGCUUGCUGCUUCUAGAGGAUGUGAGCAAUAACUACAGGAAAAGCUCUUAAAGGAGAUCAAGGAAUCCUGAUUAGGAGCUACUAAAGUAGCAAAUACAAUAAUGCAACGAGCUCGGGCUCUUGUGGCUCUGUCAUAUUUGAACCUUAGCAGAUGUGGCCUAUCUGAUCAUGGUUUUGAUAAGCUCUUUGGACUUAAGAAUUUGAAGGUGGUCAAUCUGGCCUUCAACAACAUAACAGAUACAUAUAUGUUUGGUUCAUCUUAAAGGGUAAGGCGGUAGUACUUUUGACGGGUCCGUCACCGGGACUAAUGUGGAGUAGCAGGAAGGGAAGCUGAUUGUCCAGAAAUGGAGGUUUUGGGAAUUGGCUUGAUGGCGUUUUCUCUACGAUGCAUUGGCUACCCUUGGCCGUAUUUUGAAUAGUCGAAUGCCACGAAGAAAUUACAGUUGAAGGAUAGCAUGAGGUUUUCAAAACUCCAAGGGAGGGGCCCUUUAACAAAGAGGAGUUGGAUGAAGUUCGAGACAAGUGAGAUACUUACUUCAACGAUUGUGAACUACCCUCAGUGUAAUAAAUAGAGCAGGCUUGUAUUUAUCCGGGACUCUUACAUUAUUUUGUUAUUUAUUGAUUUAAUUAAUUACAUUUGAAUUAAUUCGGUAAUAUUAUCGAAAUUUUGAAAUUUAUAUCAUUUUUGAGGAAUGUCAAGCUGAUGUUUGAUGAAA